ACGGGAGGCAGCAGUGGGGAAUAUUGGACAAUGGGCGAAAGCCUGAUCCAGCCAUGCCGCGUGUGUGAAGAAGGCCUUUUGGUUGUAAAGCACUUUAAGUAGGGAGGAAAAGCUAAUGGCUAAUACCCAUUAGCCCUGACGUUACCUACAGAAUAAGCACCGGCUAACUCUGUGCCAGCAGCCGCGGUAAUACAGAGGGUGCAAGCGUUAAUCGGAAUUACUGGGCGUAAAGCGCGCGUAGGUGGUUACUUAAGUCAGAUGUGAAAGCCCCGGGCUUAACCUGGGAACUGCAUCUGAUACUGGGUGACUAGAGUAGGUGAGAGGGGAGUAGAAUUCCAGGUGUAGCGGUGAAAUGCGUAGAGAUCUGGAGGAAUACCGAUGGCGAAGGCAGCUCCCUGGCAUCAUACUGACACUGAGGUGCGAAAGCGUGGGUAGCAAACAGGAUUAGAUACCCUGGUA
rnacentral:rRNA from 1 species